rnacentral:rRNA from 1 species
GACGAACGCUGGCGGCGUGCUUAACACAUGCAAGUCGAACGGAAAGGCCCUGCUUUUGUGGGGUGCUCGAGUGGCGAACGGGUGAGUAACACGUGAGUAACCUGCCCUUGACUUUGGGAUAACUUCAGGAAACUGGGGCUAAUACCGGAUAGGAGCUCCUGCUGCAUGGUGGGGGUUGGAAAGUUUCGGCGGUUGGGGAUGGACUCGCGGCUUAUCAGCUUGUUGGUGGGGUAGUGGCUUACCAAGGCUUGGACGGGUGGCCGGCCUGAGAGGGUGACCGGCCACAUUGGGACUGAGAUACGGCCCAGACUCCUACGGGAGGCAGCAGUGGGGAAUAUUGCACAAUGGGCGGAAGCCUGAUGCAGCAACGCCGCGUGCGGGAUGACGGCCUUCGGGUUGUAAACCGCUUUCGCCUGUGACGAAGCGUGAGUGACGGUAAUGGGUAAAGAAGCACCGGCUAACUACGUG